GAUGAACGCUGGCGGCGUGCUUAACACAUGCCAGUCGAACGGAAAGGCUCCUGCUUGCAGGGGUACUCGAGUGGCGAACGGGUGAGUAACACGUGGGUGAUCUGCCCUGCACUUCGGGAUAAGCCUGGGAAACUGGGUCUAAUACCGGAUAGGACGAUGGUUUGGAUGCCAUUGUGGAAAGUUUUUCGGUGUGGGAUGAGCUCGCGGCCUAUCAGCUUGUUGGUGGGGUAAUGGCCUACCAAGGCGUCGACGGGUAGCCGGCCUGAGAGGGUGUACGGCCACAUGGGGAUGGAGAAACGGCCAAGACCCCUACGGGAGGGAGGAGGGGGGAAUAUGGAAAAAGGGGCGGAAGCCGGAUGCAGGGACGCCGGGGGGGGGAGGACGGCCUUCGGGUGGGAAACCCCUUUCGCUGGGGACGAAGCGAAAGGGAGGGUCCCUGGGGAAGAAGCAACGGCUAACUAGGU
rnacentral:rRNA from 1 species